CCCCUGAAGAAUUCCAAACUCAAACUGUUUACCCCUGAAGAAUUCCAAAAUUCCAAGCUCAAAACUCUUUACCCCUGAAGAAUUCCAAGCUCAAAACCUUUUACCCCUGAAGAAUUCCAAGCUCAAAACCCUUCACCCCUGAAGAAUUCCAAGCUCUGAAAAAUUUCAAUCUCAAACCUCUUUACCCCUGAAGAAUUCCAAGCUCAAAACCCUUUACCCCUGAAGAAUUCCAAGCUCAAAACCAUUUACCCCUGAAGAAUUCCAAACUCAAAACACUUUAGCCCUGAAGAAUUCCAAGCUCAAAACACUUUACCCCUGAAGAAUUCCAAGCUCAAAACCCUUUACCCCUGAAGAAUUCCAGGGAUCCUCGACAGGAGGUAGGGGGUACGGAUAUUAAAUGGAAUAGCCCAAUACGACUUUGUAGUUUGUAAAAUAAAAGUACUUACUUUUCGACGAAGCUACGAUGAUCGACAUCUCAUAAUUAGGUAUCAUCGCAAAAGAUACAGAGCAAUGAACGCACCACAGAA
rnacentral:lncRNA from 1 species